rnacentral:rRNA from 1 species
AGAACGAACGCUGGCGGCAGGCUUAACACAUGCAAGUCGAACGGCUGUAGCAAUACAGCAGUGGCAGACGGGUGAGUAACACGUGGGAACCUUCCUAAGGGUACGGGACAACUCAGGGAAACUUGAGCUAAUACCGUAUACGUCCGUAAGGAGAAAGAUUUAUCGCCCUUAGACGGGCCCGCGUCGGAUUAGGUAGUUGAUGGGGUAACGCCUACCAAGCCUACGAUCCGUAGCUGAUCUGAGAGGAUGAUCAGCCACACUGGGACUGAGACACGGCCCAGACUCCUACGGGAGGCAGCAGUGGGAAUCUUGGACAAUGGGCGCAAGCCUGAUCCAGCCAUGCCGCGUGAGUGAAGAAGGCUUAGGGUUGUAAAGCUCGUUUAACCAGGGAAGAUAAAUGAACGGUACCUGGAAGAAUAACGCCCGGACAAACUUCGACGACCAGCACGACCGAC